rnacentral:rRNA from 1 species
AGCGAACGCUGGCGGCAGGCCUAACACAUGCAAGUCGAACGAAGUCUUCGGACUUAGUGGCGGACGGGUGAGUAACACGUGGGAACGUACCUUUUGGUUCGGAACAACUCAGGGAAACUUGAGCUAAUACCGGAUGAGCCCUUAGGGGGAGAGAUUUAUCGCCGAAAGAGCGGCCCGCGUUAGAUUAGCUAGUUGGUGAGGUAAAGGCUCACCAAGGCUACGAUCUAUAGCUGGUCUGAGAGGAUGAUCAGCCACACUGGGACUGAGACACGGCCCAGACUCCCACGGGAGGCAGCAGUGGGGAAUCUUGCGCAAUGGGCGAAAGCCUGACGCAGCCAUGCCGCGUGAAUGAUGAAGGUCUUAGGAUUGUAAAAUUCUUUUACCAGGGACGAUAAUGACGGUACCUGGAGAAAAAGCCCCGGCUAACUUCGUGCCAGCCGCCGCCGUAAUAC